UCAGAAAUGAGGACAAUGAGGUGAGCUC
rnacentral:piRNA from 1 species